AACAUGAAAAACCUGAGCAGAAAGGGGGAAAGAGAAACAACCAUUUGCAGCUGGGGGAGAGCUUUGACUGAGGGACCAACCACAAGCACAAAAGGAGACCUGAGCUCGAGGCACCUCCUGUGCUGGGGCAAGACACAGACUGCAGGAGGACCCGAGAGACCCGUGGAGCAGGGCAGCAAAGCAGGAGGGUCAUCAAAAUAACCAGGCAACAAAGGUGAACUUCCACAGAGCCACAAUCCUUUGCAGACAAGAAGAGGCAAGGAAAUGAGAAGGAUCAAGAGAGCUCCUGUAGAAGAUUUUCCUCGGCAUAAGCAUAACACCUCUCUGCAACAGGGAUGUGCAGUUUUAACAUGUGAUAAGAUCAUACACACAGACACUGGACACUACUCUAAAUUCAGGCACUAACCUGCAAAUAUUCUGGUGCAGUUUCUCUUGGAGGUCGAUGAAGCUGUCAUAGCGGUCCUUGGUAAAAGUUAUGUUCCUCAGGAUGGCAGCGACAGCGUGAGGCCGGAUCUGGGCAGUCUGCAAUUCACAACAGCAGCACUUCAAGAGAUUUGAUUCGAGCUGCAUCUGCACCUUUGAUCUGAUCUGCUACUAGGUUCACCCAAAACAACUUGUCUAUUGCUCCUCCCACUGCUCAUUCAUAAGAAUAGAUCACAACUAGUAGAGUUAUUUAAAUGUCUUUAGCUCCUGUUCUGCAAACAAGAUUUCCAGUCUCACUGCUCUUACAAAAUCAUACUGAUAUGGAUCUUGCUGCUUCAGCAACUCUCAAUGCAUUUACAAAGGUACAGUAAAUACUUUUACCUGUUCAGUGAUAAUCAGCCUCUGACCUUCACCCUCAGCUGGUAUUAUCUUUUCAAACCUAGGGAGAUUUAUCCUAAAACAAAACCAGAAGUAAGUCUGUAGCUGAAAUGCAGCAAACUCUAGAAAUGUAGCAGGAAUUAUAUGUAGAAAACUUUCUUGGUAAUAUUCCUUGGAAUGUAAUUGGCUAACUGCACAAAACUUAUUUUUUAUGGGAUAAUCAACAGAUUACUGAACUAGAAAGGAAGAACGCAGCAAGAUAAAAGUCAGUGCAGAAAAGGGAAAUAAAUUAUUUGUUUUGGUAUUUAUUAGAAAGGAUCACAAGUUUCUCUACAGGAGUUCUUUACAGAGGAUAAGUCACAAAUGGAACAGCAAUUGAAAACUUUUUAGAACAGAUACAAAACCCAGAAACAUUCUAGUCUAGUCUUUAAAUUAUGCAAUAGAACCUCUCCAGAGGAAUGCCUGAUGAAUCUCAUCUACACGUUAUCAUACUCCAAAUGCAAGCAAGUAGGAAGUUCUGUUUACUGACCAGAAUAUUUCAACAAAUAACAAACCACACAGAGAUGUCACAGCUCUGCCUUACCUUUCCUUAAAGACCUGCAGUCCCCGGACCAGCCCUUCCAGGCACAGCAGAUCGUAGCGGUUGGCAGGAACAUCGAUUUUAUAGAGAACGACAUCGGACGCACCCUUGGCCUUCUCUUCACCCUUCUCUUUGCUUAUAAUGUCCUUCUCAGAUGUCUGAAAUCAAGCAAAAAUGCAGUUUUAACCUGAUAUAUCUUAACAUUGAUAGCAGUAUGAUAGUGAUAUGAUAGGAGAAACUGUGUUAAUUAGAAGUUUAACACUGUAAUUUGCAUUUACACAGCAAAUGGACACACCAAAUACAAGAAAUGACAUAAAACCUUAAAUUCAGAAACUGUAAGGCAGUAUACAAAAAAAAAUUCAUUAUCAAAAUUUUAAUUUUAAGAAAAAAUAUUAUAGAAGCAAGAACCUCCAGGCUGUCAGAUCCCAGUAGAGAUCUGAGACCUUAUUUUUGGCAAAUGACUUCUCACAAUCAAAUUUAUUCUGAAAUAAAGUAUAACAUAUGACAUUCAGAUGUCUUUUGAUAAACGUCAUUAAAAAGCCAAUGAAUUAAAAUUAAAUGGCAAAAACGAAACGGGUAUACUUGAACAAGAUUUGCAUGGAUAGAGUUAUCAGGGCUAGCAAAUCUCCACAAGUACAGAACCUAAAUUAAAACAUUAAAUAUAAGUAAGUUACAACUCGGGUAACAAUGUCCAGGACAAAUACAUUUUUUGUGGAUAUUGCACAGACGACUGCAUAUCAAACAAAGCCAAGCAGAUCUUGUAAAAUAUGAUCAAUACAUGUUCUGUGGUCAUAUUUAUGCUGCUAAAUAAAAUGUUGCCUGAGACUGAAGAUCAAGAGGCACAGAGUGCUGACCUCCAGAAAGUAUUGCACUAUGCCAUCUCAGAGUCUCUUGCUUCCAAAGCAGUUACUUUGUAAGUCUGAGGGGAUUUUUCCAGAUUCAAAACACCUGUGUUAAUACAGUCCAUUAGAACAUUGUAACAGGGGAUAUGCUGGAAACAAUGCCAUACAAACUCUUACCAAAAAUCAAUGCUGUCAAUAUGCUACAUCUACUCAAAAAAGCAACAAAUAAAAACAUUACUUACUAUUUCAUCAAGCUCCAAACCGAACUCGAAGCAAAGCUCAUCAAAUUCUUCAUCCGCUGUGAAGGAAGAGGGUGAAUUUUGGUUAACAAGCAGACCUCAGACCUAAUUUGUGUGUGUAUAUUUGGAAUAUAACAAAGAUAACAAAUGCUAUUUUGGAAAAAAAAAAUAUGGUAAAAGUAAUUUAAAGACUUUUCCUUAUA